UGUCAAUUCCGAGACGCGAUAACGAGCUGUCAAGGCUUCGGUCUGACGGUGAAGUGGUUGAUGCCAUGCUUCCAGGAAAAGCCUCUAAGCUUCAGGUAACAAGGGACCGUACCCCAAACCGACACAGGUGGUCAGGUAGAGAAUACCAAGGCGCUUGAGAGAACUCGGGUGAAGGAACUAGGCAAAAUGGUACCGUAACUUCGGGAGAAGGUACGCCGCUUGGGGUGAUCGGACUUGCUCCGUGAGCUCCGGGCGGUCGAAGUGACCAGGUGGCUGCGACUGUUUAUUAAAAACACAGCACUCUGCAAACACGAAAGUGGACGUAUAGGGUGUGACGCCUGCCCGGUGCCGGAAGGUUAAUUGAUGGGGUCAGCCGCAAGGCGAAGCUCUUGAUCGAAGCCCCGGUAAACGGCGGCCGUAACUAUAACGGUCCUAAGGUAGCGAAAUUCCUUGUCGGGUAAGUUCCGACCUGCACGAAUGGCGUAACGAUGGCCACACUGUCUCCACCCGAGACUCAGUGAAAUUGAACUCGCUGUGAAGAUGCAGUGUACCCGCGGCUAGACGGAAAGACCCCGUGAACCUUUACUACAGCUUUGCACUGGACUCUGAAUCUGUUUGUGUAGGAUAGGUGGGAGGCUAUGAAGCCGGAACGCUAGUUCUGGUGGAGCCAACCUUGAAAUACCACCCUGACAUAUUUGGGGUUCUAACCCAGGCCCGUUAUCCGGGUCGGGGACAGUGUAUGGUGGGUAGUUUGACUGGGGCGGUCUCCUCCCAAAGAGUAACGGAGGAGCACGAAGGUACCCUCAGCGUGGUCGGAAAUCACGCUUUUGAGUGCAAAGGCAUAAGGGUGCUUGACUGCGAGAGCGACGGCUCGAGCAGGUGCGAAAGCAGGUCUUAGUGAUCCGGUGGUUCUGAAUGGAAGGGCCAUCGCUCAACGGAUAAAAGGUACUCCGGGGAUAACAGGCUGAUACCGCCCAAGAGUUCAUAUCGACGGCGGUGUUUGGCACCUCGAUGUCGGCUCAUCACAUCCUGGGGCUGAAGCCGGUCCCAAGGGUAUGGCUGUUCGCCAUUUAAAGUGGUACGCGAGCUGGGUUUAGAACGUCGUGAGACAGUUCGGUCCCUUUCUGCCGUGGGCGUUGGAGAUUUGAGGAAAGCUGCUCCUAGUACGAGAGGACCGGAGUGGACGAACCUCUGGUGUUCGGGUUGUCACGCCAGUGGCAUUGCCCGGUAGCUACGUUCGGACGGGAUAACCGCUGAAAGCAUCUAAGCGGGAAGCCUCUUCCAAGAUGAGAUCUCCCCGGGGACUCGAUCCCCCUGAAGGGUUGUUCAAGACCAGGACGUUGAUAGGUGGGGUGUGUAAGCGCUGUGAGGCGUGGAGCUAACCCAUACUAAUUGCCCGUGCGGCUUGAUC
rnacentral:rRNA from 1 species